rnacentral:rRNA from 1 species
CCUACGGGAGGCAGCAGUGAGGAAUAUUGGUCAAUGGACGAGAGCCUGAACCAGCCAAGUAGCGUGAAGGAUGACUGCCCUAUGGGUUGUAAACUUCUUUUAUAUGGGAAUAAAAUGUUCCACGUGUGGGAUUUUGUAUGUACCAUAUGAAUAAGGAUCGGCUAAUUCCGUGCCAGCAGCCGCGGUAAUACGGAGGAUCCGAGCGUUAUCCGGAUUUAUUGGGUUUAAAGGGAGCGUAGGUGGAUUGUUAAGUCAGUUGUGAAAGUUUGUGGCUCAACCGUGAAAUUGCAGUUGAAACUGGCAGUCUUGAGUACAGUAGAGGUGGGCGGAAUUCGUGGUGUAGCGGUGAAAUGCUUAGAUAUCACGAAGAACUCCGAUUGCGAAGGCAGCUCACUGGACUGCAACUGACACUGAGGCUCGAAAGUGUGGGUAUCAAACAGGAUUAGAUACCCGUGUAGUC